rnacentral:rRNA from 1 species
GAUGAACGCUGGCGGCGUGCCUAAUACAUGCAAGUCGAGCGAACGGACGAGAAGCUUGCUUCUCUGAUGUUAGCGGCGGACGGGUGAGUAACACGUGGAUAACCUACCUAUAAGACUGGGAUAACUUCGGGAAACCGGAGCUAAUACCGGAUGAUAUUUUGAACCGCAUGGUUCAAAAGUGAAAGACGGUCUUGCUGUCACUUAUAGAUGGAUCCGAGCUGCAUUAGCUAGUUGGUAAGGUAAGGGCUUACCAAGGCAACGAUGCAUAGCCGACCUGAGAGGGUGAACGGCCACACUGGAACUGAGACACGGUCCAGACUACUACGGGAGGCAGCAGUAGGGAAUCUUCCGCAAUGGGCGAAAGCCUGACGGAGCAACGCCGCGUGAGUGAUGAAGGUCUUCGGAUCGUAAAACUCUGUUAUUAGGGAAGAACAUAUGUGUAAGUAACUGUGCACAUCUUGACGGUACCUAAUCAGAAAGCCACGGCUAACUACGUG